GAUGAACGCUGGCGGCGUGCCUAAUACAUGCAAGUCGAGCGAACAGACGAGGAGCUUGCUCCUUCGACGUUAGCGGCGGACGGGUGAGUAACACGUAGGUAACCUACCUAUAAGACUGGGAUAACUUCGGGAAACCGGAGCUAAUACCGGAUAAUAUUUCGAACCGCAUGGUUCGAUAGUGAAAGAUGGCUUUGCUAUCACUUAUAGAUGGACCUGCGCCGUAUUAGCUAGUUGGUAAGGUAACGGCUUACCAAGGCAACGAUACGUAGACGACCUGAGAGGGUGAUCGGCCACACGGGAACUGAGACACGGUCCAGACUCCUACGGGAGGCAGCAGUAGGGAAUCUUCCGCAAUGGGCGAAAGCCUGACGGGGCAACGCCGCGUGAGUGAUGAAGGUCUUCGGAUCGUAAAACUCUGUUAUUAGGGAAGAACAAACGUGUAAGUAACUGUGCACGUCUUGACGGUACCUAAUCAGAAAGCCACGGCUAACUACGUG
rnacentral:rRNA from 1 species